rnacentral:pre_miRNA from 1 species
CACUACCACUAACCCUUUAGUGAUAUUUAAAAAAAAUUGCACUAUCACUAAAUUUUAGUGGUAGUGA